UACGUAGGGUGCAGGCGUUAAUCGGAAUUAUUGGGCGUAAAGAGCUCGUAGGCGGUCUGUCGCGUCUGCUGUGAAAACUCGGGGCUUAACCCCGGGUCUGCAGUCGAUACGGGCUAGCUAGAGUGUGGUAGGGGGAGAUCGGAAUUCCUGGUGUAGCGGUGAAAUGCGCAGAUAUCAGGAGGAACACCGGUGGCGAAGGCGGAUCUCUGGGCCAUUACUGACGCUGAGGAGCGAAAGCGUGGGGAGCGAACAGG
rnacentral:rRNA from 1 species